rnacentral:lncRNA from 1 species
AUGGGAUUGAUCCCUUCAGAUUAUUAGAGUUGAUGUAUCAUUAUAUUUUAAUUUUAUAAAAUUUUGAUUAGGAUAAUCUAUGAGAUAGAUUUGAAAGGUUGAAAUACAAUAUGGAUGAAGCAAUCUCGGUUGACUGUUAACCUGAGACCAUCCUAGAGCAUUCAGGAUCAAAAAAAUGAAUUAUGCAGUAACCAUGUGUAUGG